rnacentral:misc_RNA from 1 species
UCACAAUCUCCAAAUUUCGAUGUGUAGGUCCACGGAUUACCGGAUUCUCGGCGGUGAUCGUCUCAAGAUCAAGGCAUUCUUCGUUCGAUUUUCCCAUCUCGAACCCCUAAGUCCUCCGCCGGAGUCGCUCACUCUCUUCUACCUCCCGCGCAUUGACGAGACCGACCUCGAGAUCGACGGCCUCAAGAUCCGGCCGGACUCGCCGGCGUUCGUCACUCUUCAUCGAGUCGUAUCGUCGUCGAGGAUGAAGAAGGAUGUGGUGUUUGGGAGUAGGGAGCGAGUUCGAGCGAGCGAAGGCGUGCAGUUUCAGGUGUAUUUGAGGGAGGAGAAGGUUGUGCAGGGGAUUUUUAGGAAGAGCGACGACGGAGAAUGGAGAUUGGAGUGUAGAUGCACGCUUGAAUCUGAGAUUGAUGGAGCAGCGGCGGGGGCGGCGGAUGUUUGCGUGGAUGUGGAGGGACAGGAAGCGAUGUGUGAGAAGGUGGUUCUAGAAGUGAGAAGGAAGAAGAGGAGAGGAUUCUGUGGACUGGAGGAGAUUCCGGAGGGACGAGAAGUGGACGGUGAGUGCGAGGGAUGUGGUUGUUGUUGCGGAGAUGAUGGAGAUUCAUCGGAGGAUGACGGCGGCGAUGAUGACGAUGAAGACGGCGGAGGAAAGCAGGUGGAGAUGGAGAUGGAGGUGGAAGGGGUCCGAUGGGCCGUAGAUUUGGGGAUUUGGGCCGUGUGUUUGGGCGUUGGAUACUUGGUAUCGAGGGCGGCCCAGUCCAAAACAUUGAGACGGAAACGAAUUUUCUGAAGCAUUGAGAAAAAAAUAAUUAAUUUUGUUUUAUCGGGAUUUUUUUUUAA